UACAGAGGGGGGCAAGCGUUAUUCGGAAUUAUUGGGCGUAAAGGGCGCGUAGGCGGCCUGGCAAGUGGAAGGUGAAAUCCCUCGGCUUAACCGAGGAACUGCCCUCCAAACUGCUAGGCUUGAGUCCGGGAGAGGUGAGUGGAAUUCCCAGUGUAGCGGUGAAAUGCGUAGAUAUUGGGGAGGAACACCAGUGGCGAAGGCGGCUCACUGGACCGGAACUGACGCUCAGUGCACGAAAGCGUGGGGAGCAAACAGG
rnacentral:rRNA from 1 species